rfam:Rhizobium freirei PRF 81 Cont755, whole genome shotgun sequence.
UUUGGGAUUGUUGAAGAAAGUUGACCUCUCGUUAACCUUUCACAAUCAAUCUGGCUGCAGUUCCGCUUUCCCUUUGACCACGGAUGUACUGGCACUGUUGCGAAGGCGGAUGACGAAAGGCCGGAUCGUUCCGGCCUUUUUGUUU